rnacentral:rRNA from 1 species
GACGAACGCUGGCGGCGUGCUUAACACAUGCAAGUCGAACGAUGAAGAAAAGAAUUGAAGCUUCGGCAGAAAUUCAUUUCGGAUUAGUGGCAGACGGGUGAGUAACGCGUGAGCAACCUACCUCUUACAAAGGGAUAGCCUCGGGAAACCGGGAUUAAUACCAUAUAACAUUGCGACGAAGCAUUUCGAUGCAAUCAAAGCUACGGCGGUAAGAGAAGGGCUCGCGUCCCAUUAACCAGAUGGUGAGGUAACGGCUCACCAUAGUAACGAUGGGUAACCGGCCUGAGAGGGUGAACGGUCACACUGGAACUGAGACACGGUCCAGACUCCUACGGGAGGCAGCAGUGGGGAAUAUUGCACAAUGGAGGGAACUCUGAUGCAGCGACGCCGCGUGAGUGAUGAAGGAAUUCGUUUCGUAAAACUCUGUUCUAUGGGAAGAAAAGGACUGUACCAUAGGAGAAAGCUCCGGCUAAAUACGUG